UGGGGAAUUUUGGACAAUGGGCGAAAGCCUGAUCCAGCAAUGCCGCGUGUGUGAAGAAGGCCUUCGGGUUGUAAAGCACUUUUGUCCGGAAAGAAAUCCUUGGCUCUAAUACAGUCGGGGGAUGACGGUACCGGAAGAAUAAGCACCGGCUAACUACGUGCCAGCAGCCGCGGUAAUACGUAGGGUGCAAGCGUUAAUCGGAAUUACUGGGCGUAAAGCGUGCGCAGGCGGUUUGCUAAGACCGAUGUGAAAUCCCCGGGCUCAACCUGGGAACUGCAUUGGUGACUGGCAGGCUAGAGUAUGGCAGAGGGGGGUAGAAUUCCACGUGCAGCAGUGAAAUGCGUAGAGAUGUGGAGGAAUACCGAUGGCGAAGGCAGCCCCCUGGGCCAAUACUGACGCUCAUGCACGAAAGCGUGGGGAGCAAACAGGAUUAGAUACCCUGGUAGUCCACGCCCUAAACGAUGUCAACUAGUUGUUGGGGAUUCAUUUCCUUAGUAACGUAGCUAACGCGUGAAGUUGACCGCCUGGGGAGUACGGUCGCAAGAUUAAAACUCAAAGGAAUUGACGGGGUCAUAGCUG
rnacentral:rRNA from 1 species